AUGGAGUUGUGGUUGAAGUAUAAGAAGUCUCAGAAUUGUGUGGUUCUGGUGGUAAACGGUCGAUUGGUGAGGAGAGGCGGUUGACUGGUUAGGCAUUUUGGGACGGAUGUUGACAUGAGGAAUCCCUUUGUGAAGGCGUAUUGAGUGAGCCAUUUGAAAUGGUUAGAGUUUGGACCAGUGGAAGCCAGUUGGAGAUGAACUUUGGGGUGGGACGAGCUAGAUGGGAUUGGUGAGUGGUAAAGGGAAAAGUGUUUUCAAGAAAUUUGACAUGACG
rnacentral:lncRNA from 1 species